rnacentral:rRNA from 1 species
UACAGAGGGGGCAAGCGUUGUUCGGAAUUACUGGGCGUAAAGGGCUCGUAGGCGGCCAACUAAGUCAGACGUGAAAUCCCUCGGCUCAACUGGGGAACUGCGUCUGAUACUGGGUGGCUUGAGUGUGGGAGAGGGAUGCGGAAUUCCAGGUGUAGCGGUGAAAUGCGUAGAUAUCUGGAGGAACACCGGUGGCGAAGGCGGCAUCCUGGACCACGACUGACGCUGAGGAGCGAAAGCCAGGGGAGCAAACGGG